rnacentral:lncRNA from 1 species
UUGCUGCACUCAGAGAAAUUGGGUAACUUGCCCAACAACAUCAGUAGAAUAAUAUUUUUUCAUUGUAUAAUCAUUGAAAAAUAAUUAUGUUUUUUCAAUGUGUCUCAAUGUUUUGGAGUUAGUAUUAGUCUUAGCCAGACUUCAUGACAUACACCUGUGUCUUGAUUUUAAAGCCAGCCUCAGCUGCAAGAUGAGCUUUGGAUCACCCCUGCUUGGGAUCCCAGGAACAUCUACAGAGUUGCACCUUACCAGCCUUCUUCUCAAUUGUGGACUCAAACAAAUCUGAGGUGAGGCCUCAAGCAUACAUUUUUUAACCAAAGUGCUAGAAUAUUUCAUUAUUAAAAGAAUCCUUGAUUCAGUUUUAAGAAAGGCAAAUAUUAGCCACUACAUUUUCUGAGACUGAGACUUGAAUUAUAUAUUAAUGCAUGUGAAAUCUGUAAGAUAAAAGCAUAUGUAUCUAUAACAGGAGAA